rnacentral:rRNA from 1 species
AUUGAACGCUGGCGGCAGGCCUUACACAUGCAAGUCGAGCGGAUGAAGGGAGCUUGCUCCUGGAUUCAGCGGCGGACGGGUGAGUAAUGCCUAGGAAUCUGCCUGGUAGUGGGGGAUAACGUCCGGAAACGGGCGCUAAUACCGCAUACGUCCUGAGGGAGAAAGUGGGGAUCUUCGGACCCCACGCUAUCAGAUGAGCCUAGGUCGGAUUAGCUAGUUGGUGGGGUAAAGGCCUACCAAGGCGACGAUCCGUAACUGGUCUGAGAGGAUGAUCAGUCACACUGGAACUGAGACACGGUCCAGACUCCUACGGGAGGCAGCAGUGGGGAAUAUUGGACAAUGGGCGAAAGCCUGAUCCAGCCAUGCCGCGUGUGUGAAGAAGGUCUUCGGAUUGUAAAGCACUUUAAGUUGGGAGGAAGGGCAGUAAGUUAAUACCUUGCUGUUUUGACGUUACCAACAGAAUAAGCACCGGCUAACUUCGUG